AGAGUUUGAUCCUGGCUCAGGAUGAACGCUGGCGGCGUGCUUAACACAUGCAAGUCGAGCGAAGCACCUAAGAAAGAUUCUUCGGAUGAAUUCUUUUGUGGCUGAGCGGCGGACGGGUGAGUAACGCGUGGGUAACCUGCCUCAUACAGGGGGAUAACAGUUAGAAAUGACUGCUAAUACCGCAUAAGACCACGGUACCGCAUGGUACAGAGGUAAAAACUCCGGUGGUAUGAGAUGGACCCGCGUCUGAUUAGCUAGUUGGUGGGGUAACGGCCUACCAAGGCGACGAUCAGUAGCCGACCUGAGAGGGUGACCGGCCACAUUGGGACUGAGACACGGCCCAAACUCCUACGGGAGGCAGCAGUGGGGAAUAUUGCACAAUGGGGGAAACCCUGAUGCAGCGACGCCGCGUGAGUGAAGAAGUAUUUCGGUAUGUAAAGCUCUAUCAGCAGGGAAGAAAAUGACGGUACCUGACUAAGAAGCACCGGCUAAAUACGUGCCAGCAGCCGCGGUAAUACGUAUGGUGCAAGCGUUAUCCGGAUUUACUGGGUGUAAAGGGAGCGUAGGUGGCAAGGCAAGCCAGAAGUGAAAACCCGGGGCUCAACCGCGGGAUUGCUUUUGGAACUGUCAUGCUAGAGUGCAGGAGGGGUGAGCGGAAUUCCUAGUGUAGCGGUGAAAUGCGUAGAUAUUAGGAGGAACACCAGUGGCGAAGGCGGCCUACUGGGCACCAACUGACGCUGAGGCUCGAAAGUGUGGGUAGCAAACAGGAUUAGAUACCCUGGUAGUCCACACCGUAAAC
rnacentral:rRNA from 1 species